UACAGAGGGUGCUAGCGUUAAUCGGAUUUACUGGGCGUAAAGCGUGUGUAGGCGGUUUGUUAAGUCGGAUGUGAAAGCCCUGGGCUCAACCUAGGAAUCGCAUUCGAUACUGGCAGGCUAGAGUACGGUAGAGGGUGGCGGAAUUCCGGGUGUAGCGGUGAAAUGCGUAGAUAUCCGGAGGAACACCGAUGGCGAAGGCAACCACCUGGGCCUGUACUGACGCUGAGACACGAAAGCGUGGGGAGCAAACAGG
rnacentral:rRNA from 1 species